AUGAACUAGUGGGAAAUUCCUUGAUUAUUGCAAUAUCGCCUACGGAUAGGGGUAGAACGGUCAAUUGUAAUUGCUUCAUAUCACAUUGCAUUAUUGGUUACUAGAGGAGGCUAGGGAUAGCAAGCCGGGAAUUAAUAAUAGGCUCUUUUCACCAAGGGAUUGGGUUAAGGGUAAAUAAGAAAGUAUGCAUGGCAAUUAGAUAAAUAAGUGAAUUAAAUAAGAAGAGUAGAUAAAUGAGAGUGGAUAAGAUGAAAUUGUAAACCCCAACAACACCAUUCAUCCAUAGUUUCUCAAAACCAAUUGAAUCAAUUGCAUUGCAUAUUUAUUUUUGUUCUUUGCAUAUAACCACCAAUAUUAUUCUCUUCUCAAGUCUUAUGCGAUUAGGUUACAUGAAAG
rnacentral:lncRNA from 1 species